rnacentral:rRNA from 1 species
UACGUAGGGAGCAAGCGUUGUCCGGAAUCAUUGGGCGUAAAGCGCGCGUAGGUGGCCCAUGUAAGUCCGCUGUGAAAGUCAAAGGCUCAACCUUUGAAAGCCGGUGGAUACUGCAUGGCUAGAGUACGGAAGAGGCGAGUGGAAUUCCUGGUGUAGCGGUGGAAUGCGCAGAUAUCAGGAGGAACACCAAUAGCGAAGGCAGCUCGCUGGGACGUUACUGACACUGAGGCGCGAAAGCGUGGGGGAGCGAACAGG